ensembl:lncRNA
GGCCAGAGGUAUUGUGACACAAGACAUCAGAGAUGCCAGUAUGAGUGCUACACAUGAAAUCAGAGAGGUCUCGGGGAGUGUGACACACGAAUUCAGAGAUGUCACUGGGUUGUUAUGCAUGAAUUCUGAGAAGCCAGGGGGAGUGUUAUGCAAUAAGUCAGAGACACAAGUGUGAAUGUUAUGCAGGAAGCCAGAGAUGCCACGGGGGUUGUGAACCUUGAAGUUAGAGACACCAUGGGGAAUGUUACACACAAAUCCAGACACCCCAGGUAGAGUGUUAUACACAAAGUCAGAGACUCCACUGGGAGUGUUGGACACAAAGGUAUAGACGGCUGGGGCAGUGUGAUGCAUGAAUUCAGAGACACAAGGGGUAGUGUGUUACAUACAGCAUCAGAGAUGCCUCCAGGAGUGUGGCACACAAAGUCAGAGACACCAGAGGAAAUGUGACAAACGAAGUAGAGCUGCCACAGGAAGUGUACCAAAGUCAGAGGUGACAAAGGAAGUGUGACACCUGAAGUUAAAGAUGCCAGGCAGAUUGUGACACACAAAAUGAGAUGUGCCACAGUGAGUGCUACAUGCAAAGUCAGAGACGUUAGGGGUAGGGUGAAACAGGAAGCUAGAGAUGCCAGGUGGAUUGUGACACACAAAGUCAGACACAUCAUGGAGUCUUACACUCAACGUAAGAAACAUCUGGGGAAGUUUGACACACGUUAUCAGAGAUGACAGUGUGAGUGUUACAUAAGUUGUCCAAAACUCCAAGGAUGAGUGUUACACUCAAAGGUGGAAAGGUCUUGUGGAGUGUUACACAUGAAUCAGAGACACCCGGGGGUGUGUACCAAAGUCUGAGGUGCCCCAUGAAGUGUAACACACGAAGUCAGAGAUAUCAGGUGGAGCGUUACACACAAAGUCCAAGAUGACACAGGGCAGUGUAAUACACAAAGGAAGAAAUGCCACGUGGAGUGUGACACAGGAAGUCAGAGACAACAGGUGAAGUGUAACUCAUGAAGUCAGAAACCCCAGGGGGCUGUGACACACAAAAUCAGAGAUGCAACAGUGAAUGUUACAUGCUAAGUUGGAGACAACAGUGGUGUGUGACACACAGAGUCAAUAAUGACAUGUCGAGUGUGACCCUUGAAGUCAGACAUCACAGGGAAUGUUUCACACAACAUCAGAGAUGCCAGACGGAGUGUUACACACGAUGCCAGAGAGGCCACCUGGAAUGUUACACAUGGAAUCAGAGGUGACAGUCUGAGAGUUACAAACGAAGUUAAAGACACCAGGGAGAAUGAGAUGCAUGAUGUCAGAGACGUGAGGGGCAGUGUGAGACAUGAAGUCAGUGACGCCUGGGGGAGUGUGAUACACGAAGGCAGAGAUGCCAGAGUGUGCAACACAUGAAGUCACAGACACCCGAGGGAGUGUGAUACAUGAAGUCAGUGAAGCCUGGAGGAGUGUGACACACGAUGUCAGACACUGCAUGGGGAUUGCUACACACAAAGUCAUGAUGCCAAGGGGUGUGUGACACACGAAGUUAGUGAUGAAAGGGGGAGUGUUACACAUGAAGUCAGAGACACCACAGGGCUGUGUUACACAAGAAGUCAGAAGCAACUGGUUGGUUGAGAUACACUAAGUCAGAGAGAAGAAGCGGAGUGAGACACACAACGUCAGAGAAGUGAUGGGGAGGGUUACACACGAUGUCAGAGACACUUGAAGGAGGGUUACACACAAAGUGAGAGAC